CCUACGGGAGGCAGCAGUGAGGAAUAUUGGUCAAUGGGCUUACGCCUGAACCAGCCAAGUCGCGUGAGGGAAGACUGCCCUGUGUAUUGUAAACCUCUUUUGUCAGGGAGCAAUUGGCGCUACGUGUAGCGUGAUCGAGAGUACCUGAAGAAAAAGCAUCGGCUAACUCCGUGCCAGCAGCCGCGGUAAUACGGAGGAUGCGAGCGUUAUCCGGAUUUAUGGGGUUUAAGGGGUGCGUAGGCGGAAUGCCAGGUCAGCGGUAAAAUCGCGGGGCUCAACCUCGCUGCGCCGUUGAAACGGGUGUUGUGGAGUGGGUGAGAAGUAUGAGGAAUGAGUGGCGUAGCGGUG
rnacentral:rRNA from 1 species